rnacentral:rRNA from 1 species
GGUUAAGCGACUAAGCGUACACGGUGGAUGCCCUGGCAGUCAGAGGCGAUGAAGGACGUGCUAAUCUGCGAUAAGCGUCGGUAAGGUGAUAUGAACCGUUAUAACCGGCGAUUUCCGAAUGGGGAAACCCAGUGUGAUUCGUCACACUAUCAUUAACUGAAUCCAUAGGUUAAUGAGGCGAACCGGGGGAACUGAAACAUCUAAGUACCCCGAGGAAAAGAAAUCAACCGAGAUUCCCCCAGUAGCGGCGAGCGAACGGGGAGCAGCCCAGAGCCUGAAUCAGUGUGUGUGUUAGUGGAAGCGUCUGGAAAGGCGCGCGAUACAGGGUGACAGCCCCGUACACAAAAAUGCACAUACUGUGAGCUCGAUGAGUAGGGCGGGACACGUGGUAUCCUGUCUGAAUAUGGGGGGACCAUCCUCCAAGGCUAAAUACUCCUGACUGACCGAUAGUGAACCAGUACCGUGAGGGAAAGGCGAAAAGAACCCCGGCGAGGGGAGUGAAAAAGAACCUGAAACCGUGUACGUACAAGCAGUGGGAGCACGCUUAGGCGUGUGACUGCGUACCUUUUGUAUAAUGGGUCAGCGACUUAUAUUCUGUAGCAAGGUUAACCGAAUAGGGGAGCCGAAGGGAAACCGAGUCUUAACUGGGCGUUAAGUUGCAGGGUAUAGACCCGAAACCCGGUGAUCUAGCCAUGGGCAGGUUGAAGGUUGGGUAACACUAACUGGAGGACCGAACCGACUAAUGUUGAAAAAUUAGCGGAUGACUUGUGGCUGGGGGUGAAAGGCCAAUCAAACCGGGAGAUAGCUGGUUCUCCCCGAAAGCUAUUUAGGUAGCGCCUCGUGAAUUCAUCUCCGGGGGUAGAGCACUGUUUCGGCAAGGGGGUCAUCCCGACUUACCAACCCGAUGCAAACUGCGAAUACCGGAGAAUGUUAUCACGGGAGACACACGGCGGGUGCUAACGUCCGUCGUGAAGAGGGAAACAACCCAGACCGCCAGCUAAGGUCCCAAAGUCAUGGUUAAGUGGGAAACGAUGUGGGAAGGCCCAGACAGCCAGGAUGUUGGCUUAGAAGCAGCCAUCAUUUAAAGAAAGCGUAAUAGCUCACUGGUCGAGUCGGCCUGCGCGGAAGAUGUAACGGGGCUAAACCAUGCACCGAAGCUGCGGCAGCGACGCUUAUGCGUUGUUGGGUAGGGGAGCGUUCUGUAAGCCUGUGAAGGUGUGCUGUGAGGCAUGCUGGAGGUAUCAGAAGUGCGAAUGCUGACAUAAGUAACGAUAAAGCGGGUGAAAAGCCCGCUCGCCGGAAGACCAAGGGUUCCUGUCCAACGUUAAUCGGGGCAGGGUGAGUCGACCCCUAAGGCGAGGCCGAAAGGCGUAGUCGAUGGGAAACAGGUUAAUAUUCCUGUACUUGGUGUUACUGCGAAGGGGGGACGGAGAAGGCUAUGUUGGCCGGGCGACGGUUGUCCCGGUUUAAGCGUGUAGGCUGGUUUUCCAGGCAAAUCCGGAAAAUCAAGGCUGAGGCGUGAUGACGAGGCACUACGGUGCUGAAGCAACAAAUGCCCUGCUUCCAGGAAAAGCCUCUAAGCAUCAGGUAACAUCAAAUCGUACCCCAAACCGACACAGGUGGUCAGGUAGAGAAUACCAAGGCGCUUGAGAGAACUCGGGUGAAGGAACUAGGCAAAAUGGUGCCGUAACUUCGGGAGAAGGCACGCUGAUAUGUAGGUGAAGUCCCUCGCGGAUGGAGCUGAAAUCAGUCGAAGAUACCAGCUGGCUGCAACUGUUUAUUAAAAACACAGCACUGUGCAAACACGAAAGUGGACGUAUACGGUGUGACGCCUGCCCGGUGCCGGAAGGUUAAUUGAUGGGGUCAGCGCAAGCGAAGCUCUUGAUCGAAGCCCCGGUAAACGGCGGCCGUAACUAUAACGGUCCUAAGGUAGCGAAAUUCCUUGUCGGGUAAGUUCCGACCUGCACGAAUGGCGUAAUGAUGGCCAGGCUGUCUCCACCCGAGACUCAGUGAAAUUGAACUCGCUGUGAAGAUGCAGUGUACCCGCGGCAAGACGGAAAGACCCCGUGAACCUUUACUAUAGCUUGACACUGAACAUUGAGCCUUGAUGUGUAGGAUAGGUGGGAGGCUUAGAAGUGUGGACGCCAGUCUGCAUGGAGCCGACCUUGAAAUACCACCCUUUAAUGUUUGAUGUUCUAACGUUGACCCGUAAUCCGGGUUGCGGACAGUGUCUGGUGGGUAGUUUGACUGGGGCGGUCUCCUCCUAAAGAGUAACGGAGGAGCACGAAGGUUGGCUAAUCCUGGUCGGACAUCAGGAGGUUAGUGCAAUGGCAUAAGCCAGCUUGACUGCGAGCGUGACGGCGCGAGCAGGUGCGAAAGCAGGUCAUAGUGAUCCGGUGGUUCUGAAUGGAAGGGCCAUCGCUCAACGGAUAAAAGGUACUCCGGGGAUAACAGGCUGAUACCGCCCAAGAGUUCAUAUCGACGGCGGUGUUUGGCACCUCGAUGUCGGCUCAUCACAUCCUGGGGCUGAAGUAGGUCCCAAGGGUAUGGCUGUUCGCCAUUUAAAGUGGUACGCGAGCUGGGUUUAGAACGUCGUGAGACAGUUCGGUCCCUAUCUGCCGUGGGCGCUGGAGAACUGAGGGGGGCUGCUCCUAGUACGAGAGGACCGGAGUGGACGCAUCACUGGUGUUCGGGUUGUCAUGCCAAUGGCACUGCCCGGUAGCUAAAUGCGGAAGAGAUAAGUGCUGAAAGCAUCUAAGCACGAAACUUGCC